AACAAUCUUCCACCUUUUAAUAAUGUAUCGAAUUGAAACACUCUUUCUUGGAUUUGAUAAGCUAUAAAAGCUCUCAUAGGAAUUCUUCUUCGUUUAGAUUCAUGGCUUGUACAAUGCCAUUUUAAGUCAGGUGUAUACCCAUCUUCACCAAAAGGAAAAAGAAGAGGAUAUUGUAAAGACAUGAAUUUUGGAUUUAAUUU
rnacentral:lncRNA from 1 species